rnacentral:rRNA from 1 species
UCGCCUGUUUUACAAAAACAUAGCCCUGGGAGUGCGUCCAGGGUAAGCCCUGCCCGGUGAUAAUUUUAACGGCCGCAGUACCCUGACUGUGCUAAGGUAGCGUAAUCAGUUGACUUUUAAAUGGAGUCGAGAAUGAAGGGGUCCAUGGGGGUAGACUGUCUCUCGGCCUGCUAACUUGAAUUUGAUUUAUAGGGUGAAAAGGCCCUAAGGCAGAAAAAAGACGAGAAGACCCUUAGAGUCUUUAUGAUUUAGUAUAGUGUUAACUAAUUAUUUUUGUUGGGGCGACAAAGAGGCAGCAUAACCCUCUACUCUAGGAAGAUACAAGACGACUGUGGUAAGGAAGAUAAGACUACCUUAGGGAUAACAGCAUAAUGUUUUUAAGCUUGUGACCUCGAUGUUGGACUAGGAACUUUAUGACUAGCCGUCAAAAAAGAGGGUUCUGUUCGAACCGCUUCUCCUACGUGAUCUGA